CUUUUUUGUCCAGGCCUUGGGUGAAUUAUGUUGCCUCUGCUGUACCUCUAGCCAUUGGACAAGGGCAAGGCUAGUGGUAAGAGCAGCUGACUGUCUCUUUACAGCUCACACUCUCAGGUCAGUUCCGGUACCUAUUUAGUUUGUGUUUGUUUACACAUGUAAAGUGUAACAAUUUUUUUUCUAAAAAGAUAACAUAUGCCAGUCCUGGCUGCCUCAUGUUAAUUGUAUAUUAUUGUAAUCAAAAGUCACAGCGGAGGACAUGGACCUAACCGGAAUAGGUGACCAUAUUGCAGCUAAUGGCAGGGUCUGACUCUCUAUGUAGUGUUGAGAAGGGCUUCUACGAUGGUGUCUUCCUGGAGGAAGACGAUGACGUCAUCCUUCGUCAAACAUGUCCAUACAAAGACCAAUCAUAUUUUUAGAAUAUUCACAUGAAAAUCUGUCUGCAAUUGGAUGGAAACCUAGCUGCUGCUAAACGAUAUGAGUGGUGUAGUUCUGCCCUCUCUAUAGAUUAUGCUGAUGCCCCACCGUAAGAACCUGUAGCUCUUUACUGGUUCUGUGGGAGGUGACGUGGCCACAAAUCAGUGCCUGGGACACCUUACAGUGCUACCACUGUCUGAACAACAGCCAAAGGGUGGUCAAGACAUCUACUGCAACUUCAUCUUUAGUGUGUCUGCUCUGCUGCACCUGGGAGAUAAAGAUGGCUCUGGCUUGCUGAUGACAUCUGAUCUGAUCUGACUCCUUGCAAUUUGACUCCUG
ensembl:lncRNA